rnacentral:rRNA from 1 species
GAUGAACGCUGGCGGCGUGCCUAAUACAUGCAAGUCGAGCGAACGGACGAGAAGCUUGCUUCUCUGAUGUUAGCGGCGGACGGGGGAGUAACACGUGGAUAACCUACCUAUAAGACUGGGAUAACUUCGUGAAACCGGAGCUAAUACCGGAUAAUAUUUUGAACCGCAUGGUUCAAAAGUGAAAGACGGUCUUGCUGUCACUUAUAGAUGGAUCCGCGCUGCAUUAGCUAGUUGGUAAGGUAACGGCUUACCAAGGCAACGAUGCAUAGCCGACCUGAGAGGGUGAUCAGCCACACUGGAACUGAGACACGGUCCAGACUCCUACGGGAGGCAGCAGUAGGGAAUCUUCCGCAAUGGGCGAAAGCCUGACGGAGCAACGCCGCGUGAGUGAUGAAGGUCUUCGGAUCGUAAAACUCUGUUAUUAGGGAAGAACAUAUGUGUAAGUAACUGUGCACAUCUUGACGGUACCUAAUCAGAAAGCCACGGCUAACUACGUG